AACGGCCGCGGUAUCUUGACCGUGUGAAGGUAGCGUAAUCAUUUGUCUUUUAAAUGAAGACCUGUAUGAACGGCAUAACGAGGGCUUAACUGUCUCGCUCUUUCAGUCAAUGAAAUUGAUCUCCCCGUGCAGAAGCGAGGAUGCGCUCAUAAGACGAAAAGACCCUGUGGAGCUUUAGAUAAAACAACAGAUCCUUCUAUAUUAUUUACACCACGGAAACCUGUUCUUAUAUCUUCGGUUGGGGCGACCAAGGAGAAAAACAUAACCUCCACGCGGAAAACACCAAGUUUUCAAGAAAUAAGAGCUACAACUCUAAAUUCCAGAACCUCUGUCCAAAGGAUCCGGCUAUUAAAACCGAUCAACGAACCAAGUUACCCCAGGGAUAACAGCGCAAUCCCCUUCUAGAGCCCGUAUCAACAAGGGGGUUUACGACCUCGAUGUUGGACCAGGACAUCCUAAUGGCGCAGCCGCUAUUAAGGGUUCGUUUGUUCAACGAUUAAAGUCCUACGUGAUCUGAGUUCAGACCGGA
rnacentral:rRNA from 1 species